UACGUAGGGUGCAAGCGUUUGUCCGGAAUUAUUGGGCGUAAAGAGCUCGUAGGCGGUUUGUCGCGUCUGCUGUGAAAACUCAGGGCUUAACUCUGAGCUUGCAGUGGGUACGGGCAGACUAGAGUGCGGUAGGGGAGACUGGAAUUCCUGGUGUAGCGGUGAAAUGCGCAGAUAUCAGGGAGGAACACCGGUGGCGAAGGCGGGUCUCUGGGCCGUAAC
rnacentral:rRNA from 1 species